rnacentral:lncRNA from 1 species
CGCGGCCUAUAAACACUGCUGUCAGCCCAUUGGUCCCAGCACGACAAUGCGCGUCUGCCCGGACCCAGCUGAGUUACACUUUCUCACAAAGUCCCAGCACAGACGUGAUCCAGGAGGUGAGAGCCUGGUGUCCCGCUGGCGUUAAGACGGGGAAACAUAAUAGCAGGAAAGAUGAGAAAAUGAUUCCUUCCUAUUUACUGAGAGAGGCGCUUGUUAAGGUGUAAUAAAGAAGAAGGCCUAGUCCAUACAGUACCCUUUGAACCAAUGUUGUAUUUCACCUGGUUAAUUUUUAACUAUAUACAUAAAAUGUUGUUGUUCAGACAUGAAAGGCGUCAUGACAAUGCACCAGCAACACUGAAUCUGAAUUUCAUUGGCGAUAGCUUGAUCUCCCAACCCUCUGAUGGCGUCGGUGCCGGCGGUGCCGGCGCUCCAUGUGGUCCCGGGGGUCCCGGCGAGCGCCGAGCCCGUCCACGCCAGCCCGGACAGGCUCCUGGCUUCGCGCGGCACGCCUCACAGCCAGGUGGAGGGACCUGAAAAACCAGCUGCCUCAGAUUGCGACUGUGUGUGAGGAGCAGCGAGCGCCGAGCCUCCUCCUCCUCCUCCUCCUCCUCCUCCUCCUCCACCUCCUCACUCUCCCCCUUCUCUUUACAUAAACACUGAUUCCCACAGGAGCCUCACACUCAGAGCCGCCUCUGCUCCUUUUACACACUUCCAUCCUCUACAGUCCGUCUGUACCUGUGGGACUUUUACUUCAGAAACGCCGGGGACUUCCUGUCUUGGACUACCUUCACUCCAUUGCUACUAACUCAUCCAUCUGCCUUGAGUCUACCGGUGGACUAUGCCCCCCUCGGCGAGCUGAGGGAGGGGGCUCUGCGCCGCUCAGGGCUCCCGUCCGGAGAAAACUUGGGCAGAGAUCAAAGGGGAGACGCUUCGGUUAUUGCUGAAGAUGCAAACUUCAACUGUCUCACCAGUGACCAACACUUCAAACACAACCACCACUACAAAGACCAAAGAACAAAUACUCAUCCAGAGCUCCGGGGCCAUGAUUGCUGUCAUCGUCAUAGGCAUCAUCAUCAUCCUCGCUGUUAUACUGCUCAUUCUUAAGACAUACAACAGGCGCACGCACGCAUCGCGGGUCCUGGGCGUCAGCAGCAGCUCCAAACCUCGUCCGAGGACGUCGCAGUCCACGGUCCAGGGCAGCGUGCCGCUGAACACCAUGGGAGUGCACUCGGUGUCGGAAAACAUCACGGGUCCAGCGCCGGCCUCGGAGAACGAGCCCCGGCUGGGCACGGAGAUGAACAGCGCCGAGGGGAACCGCGCAGAACAGUUCAGCACCGCGAGUGGAUCCAGUGUGGUUACAAUCCAUGACACAGCGGCGUCAGAGAACACAUAG